CACAAGGGGUGAAGCCUGCGGUUCAAUUGGAGUCAACGCCAGAAAUCUUACCCGGAGAGACAGCAGAAUGAAGGUCAAGCUGAAGACUUUACCAGACAAGCUGAGAGGUGGUGCAUGGCCGUCGCCAGCUCGUGCCGUGAGAUGUCCUGUUAAGUCAGGUAACGAGCGAGAUCCCUGCCUCUAGUUGCCACCAUUACUCUCAGGAGUAGUGGGGCGAAUUAGCGGGACCGCCGCAGUUAAUGCGGAGGAAGGAAGGGGCCACGGCAGGUCAGUAUGCCCCGAAACUCUGGGGCCACACGCGGGCUGCAAUGGUAGCGACAAUUGGUUUCGAAUCCGAAAGGAUGAGGUAAUCCACAAACGCUACCACAGUUAUGACUGAGGGCUGCAACUCGCCCUCACGAAUAUGGAAUCCCUAGUAACUGCGUGUCAUUAUCGCGCGGUGAAUACGUCCCUGCUCCUUGCACACACCGCCCGUCGUUUCAUUGAAGUGAGCUUUUAGCGAGGUGACGUCUAAUUGGCGUUAUCGAACUUGAGGUUCGUGACAAGGGAAAAGUCGUAACAAGGUGACCGUAGGGGAACCUGCGGUCGGAUCACCUCCUU
rnacentral:rRNA from 1 species